CGUAGUGUUUCGUUUGAAAAUGUUACUUUAUGAUACCCUUCCUUCUCCCUUGGGAUGAUUUUAUCUAUUUAUACUAUAAUAAUACUGAAGUUUGAUGUGAAGUGUGAACAAAAAAUUGUUAUAACUUAGCUACAUUGAAAUUUUUACCUUGUCUCUUCAACAACCAUUCUUGAAUCUACCUGUUUUUUACCCUUCUCAAACAGACAAACAGAGAGAGUGUGAGAGAGAUUUUGUAGCAAUAUGCAAGUUGAAAGAAUAAUUAAUGGUCUAGGAAGGCAUAUGUUUGGGAAUUUAGCUAUCAGAUCAGAUAAAGUUUGAAUCUUUAUUGUAUAUAUAUAUAUUUUUAAGAUAAGUUUAUUUCAUUGCUAUUUGAGGAAUAGUUCAAGUUUAGGAAGAAAUUUGUAAAACCCCAUGGGAGAAACAAGUUUAAGAGAUCCCCCCCAUUUGCUUGGAAGUUGACUUUUCCAUGUUUUUUUUUGUGCUAGAAUAUUGAAAAGGCCUAAUCUUGAAGUGGGGUUUUACAGAUUUUGGGAUCCUCAUUUGCUUGGAAGUUGACUUUUCCUGUUUUCCAAGACAUACUUUGUACCAGGAUAUUGAAAAGGCUUAAUCUUGAACUGGGGUUUUACAGAUUGGGAUCUACAUUAGCUUGGAAGUUGACUUCACCACCAGGAUCUUGAAAAGGUCCAAUCUUGAAGUGGGGUUUUCUUGUUCUUUUGGGAUUCCAUUUUGUAGAUUUGGGGAGUGAUGGGGGGAGAAGAGAAACUUCAAAUUAUUCAUAGUGAGGGGGGAGAAGCCAAACUUCAAAAUAUUCAUAGUGAGGAUGAGGAAGUGCAAGAAAGUAAGCAUAAUAAUGGGAUCUGUAGUUCUAUUUGUGCUCCAGUCAACUGGUUCAAAAUGCUUACUAUGGAAUUACACUGGAAUUUUGUGUUUAGUGUGGUGAUUGUGUAUGGAGUAAGCCAAGGACUUGGUGGAGCUUUUUCCAGAAUAAGCACAGAGUACUAUAUGAAGGAUGUACAAAAAGUGCAACCUUCUGAAUCUCAGGUUUACUCAGGGAUAACUUCAAUCCCCUGGAUGGUCAAGCCUCUUUGGGGUCUUCUCACUGAUGCUGUUCCCAUUUUGGGGUAUCGUCGCAGACCUUAUUUCUUGUUUGCGGGUUCUCUUGGAGUUGUCUCUAUGCUGUUCUUAUCGUUGCACAAAAACUUGCAUAUUGUGCUUGCACUGCUCUCCUUGACAGCAGGAAGUGCUGCGGUUGCUAUAGCUGACGUGACUGUUGAUGCAUGUGUGGCACAAAACAGUGGUUCUCAUCCUUCCCUUGCAGCUGAUAUGCAAAGCUUAUGUGCCUUGAGUUCCUCAAUUGGGGCACUAGUGGGGUUUUCUUUAAGUGGUAUAUUAGUUCAUUUACUUGGCCCUAUGGGGGUAUAUGGCUUAUUGUCCAUACCAGCCGGGCUUGUUAUUUUGGUAGGAGUUUUGCUCAAGGAAUCUCCUACACACAGCUUUGCUUAUCAACAGGUUAAUCAGAACUUAACUGAUGCUGCCAAGGCUAUGUGGAAUACUUUGAAAUGCCCGGAAGUUUGGCGACCAUGUCUUUAUAUGUACUUAUCCUUUGCGGUGAGUGUAGAUAUCCAGGAAGGUAUGUUCUACUGGGCAACAGAUGCAAAGGGAGGACCACAUUUUUCAAAGGAGUAUAUCGGAUACAUAUCAGCAGUAGCCUCCAUUGGAUCACUAUUAGGGGCUAUACUGUACCAAUAUGGAUUAAAAGACCAUUCUUUUCGAGACCUGCUCUUUUGGACUCAGUUAUUGUUUGGUCUAUCAGGAAUGCUGGAUUUGGUGCUAGUGUUGCGUUUAAAUUUGAAAGUCGGUAUACCUGAUUAUUUCUUCAUGGUGAUGGAUGCAAGUGUAACUCAAUUGGUUGGACGACUAAAGUGGAUGCCACUUCUUGUUCUAAGUUCCAAGCUGUGUCCUCCUGGCAUUGAAGGCACCUUUUUCGCCUUGCUCAUGUCAAUUGACAAUACUGGACUUCUGACAUCAACAUGGUUUGGUGGAUUGUUGCUUCAUAUCUUCAAAAUUACAAGGACAAAGUUUCAUAAUCUCUGGCUAGCCAUUUUGAUAAGGAACAUUUUGAGAAUCACUCCACUUUUUAUACUGUUUUUGAUCCCCAGAAGUGAUCCUAACUCCUCUAUCCUUCCUGAUGAGAUGCCAGAUUCAAAAGAAACCACUGGAACCUCAACAACUCAGAAUGAAAAUAUCGAACUUGUCGCUCUGGUUCACAACAUGGAUACUAGAUAGCGGUGGAUUAUACACGUUUUUGAGCUUAACUAUUUCCAUAACCAUACUUAUAGAAGUGAUUACAAGCUUGAAACUUCAGAAAUGGAUUGUGUUAAAUGAAACCUCAAAAGAUGCUCUACUUUCUUAUCAAUUUUCUUCAACUCGUCCCCACAGUGUCUCGUGGACACUUGAUGUUGAUGUUGACGUGGAUCAUUUUGUAAGUUGAACUCUUUCAAUUGACACGAUGGAGAUGAGUUUGAGUUGUCUAGAUGUGCAUAUUCAAAGUUGGAGUGCUUACUUAUCAACUGCGGCCAAGUUUUGAGUAUCUGUUUAUGUAUUACGAAGAACUACCCCAGUUUGGUUUUUUACAAAAAGGAAUGAAUGACAAUACAGUUUUAAAGUGAUAUCAUCUUUUCUUGA